rnacentral:misc_RNA from 1 species
GAUGAAGAACGUAGCGAAAUGCGAUAAGUAAUGUGAAUUGCAGAAUUCAGUGAAUCAUCGAAUCUUUGAACGCACCUUGCGCUCCUUGGUAUUCCGAGGAGCAUGCCUGUUUGAGUGUCAUUAAUAUAUCAACCUUCACUUGUUGAAUGGUUUGGAUGUGGGGGUUUGCUGGUCUCUUAAAGGGUUCAGCUCCUCUAAAAUGCAUUAGCAGAACAAUCUGUUCAUUGGUGUGAUAACUAUCUACGCUCUUGAAUAAGAUGCAGUUCAGCUUUCUAACUGUCCUCGGACAAUUUAUCAUUUAUGUGACCUCAAAUCAGGUAGGACUACCCGCUGAACUUAAGCAUAUCAAUAAGCGGAGGA